rnacentral:lncRNA from 1 species
CAACAAAUCACCCAAUUAGAAGCAGCAAUAGACCAAAACUUAAAGAUAUUAAUAACCUCCAUCACAACUUUACAGGAAUCUUUAACCUCUCUCUCUGAAGUUGUUUUACAGAACAGGCAAGGGUUAGAACUCCUUUUCAUGAGAAAAGGGGGCCUUUAUGCUGCAUUGAGGGAAAAAAUGUUGUUUUUAUGACUACCAUACUGGUUGUAAAAGAAUCUAUGAGUAAAUUAAGAAGACGCCUUGAAGAGCAUCAACGAGAGAGAGAGGCCCAAAAAGGGUGGUUUGAGUCUUUGUUAACAUAGUCCCCCUGGUUAACUACACUUUUAUCAGCCCUGGCCGGUCCUUUAAUAAUCCUUAUUUAUUGCUAACUGUAGGACAUUGCUUGCUCCAACGUGUAGUUUCAUUUCUCCAAGCUCAAAUUGGACAAGUUAAACUUUUGGUAAUCAGACAACAACAUACCCCACUAGCAGACAUAAAAUGUAACACCGUCCAAUGAUCACUUUUAUGAUUAAAAGUAACCAGAAGAAGUGGGGAAUGAAAGGUUAAUAAAAUAGGUAUUUGUCACUUCCUGUUUUUCUGUAUACUUAACAAAACACUGUUGAAAUCUUGAGAACUGUUUGCUAAUCUUAUUCCCAGAAUGUGCAGUCCCCAACUGCCAAACUGCAGAAUGUACUCCCUCACCUGGUUGCACGCAAACCACCCACUCGCCCAGACCCAUCAACAAACUUCCCUCCCUGGCGUCUCCAAGGAAAGUAUAUAAGCUCUGCUUAAGCUGAUAUCAGGGCUCUCUGCUCUAUUCAAGUGAGCUCUGAGCCCCAGAAUGUUGGACCCCCAACAAAUCCUUUGCUGUUGCAUGAGACAGUCUCUUGGUGGUCUCUUCCUCUGAUGCUCGAACGACCUUUACAUUGGUACAAUCAUAAGUGUGACAUUUGCUUUUUGUGUCCAGAAUAUUAUUGUGAUAAAAUGUAUAUGUAGAUCAGGUGACAUGAGUAUUUCUUCCACCAUUUCUGGGAGCAAUAUUUUGAAGAUGUAUAAAUUAGUAUUGGGGGUACAAAUAGGUGUACCCUGUGUCUAUGAAUAUAGAGAUAAUGCAUGAAUAGACCAUACUGUGAAUAAAUAAUGUAAC